rnacentral:rRNA from 1 species
GGGGAAUUUUGGACAAUGGGGGAAACCCUGAUCCAGCCAUCCCGCGUGUGCGAUGAAGGCCUUCGGGUUGUAAAGCACUUUUGGCAGGGAAGAAACGGCCCGGGAUAAUACCCUGGGUUAAUGACGGUACCUGCAGAAUAAGCACCGGCUAACUACGUGCCAGCAGCCGCGGUAAUACGUAGGGUGCAAGCGUUAAUCGGAAUUACUGGGCGUAAAGCGUGCGCAGGCGGUUCGGAAAGAAAGGUGUGAAAUCCCAGGGCUUAACCUUGGAACUGCACUUUUAACUACCGGGCUAGAGUACGUCAGAGGGGGGUAGAAUUCCACGUGUAGCAGUGAAAUGCGUAGAGAUGUGGAGGAAUACCGAUGGCGAAGGCAGCCCCCUGGGAUGAUACUGACGCUCAUGCACGAAAGCGUGGGGAGCAAAC